GCCUAAUACAUGCAAGUCGAGCGAGCUGAACCAACAGAUUCACUUCGGUGAUGACGUUGGGAACGCGAGCGGCGGAUGGGUGAGUAACACGUGGGGAACCUGCCCCAUAGUCUGGGAUACCACUUGGAAACAGGUGCUAAUACCGGAUAAGAAAGCAGAUCGCAUGAUCAGCUUAUAAAAGGCGGCGUAAGCUGUCGCUAUGGGAUGGCCCCGCGGUGCAUUAGCUAGUUGGUAGGGUAACGGCCUACCAAGGCAAUGAUGCAUAGCCGAGUUGAGAGACUGAUCGGCCACAUUGGGACUGAGACACGGCCCAAACUCCUACGGGAGGCAGCAGUAGGGAAUCUUCCACAAUGGACGAAAGUCUGAUGGAGCAACGCCGCGUGAGUGAAGAAGGUUUUCGGAUCGUAAAGCUCUGUUGUUGGUGAAGAAGGAUAGAGGUAGUAACUGGCCUUUAUUUGACGGUAAUCAACCAGAAAGUCACGGCUAACUACGUGCC
rnacentral:rRNA from 1 species